AUUGAACGCUGGCGGCAUGCCUUACACAUGCAAGUCGAACGGCAGCGGACCUUCGGGUGCCGGCGAGUGGCGAACGGGUGAGUAAUGCAUCGGAACGUGCCAUUGAGUGGGGGAUAACGUAGCGAAAGUUGCGCUAAUACCGCAUAUUCUGUGAGCAGGAAAGCAGGGGACCGCAAGGCCUUGCGCUCUUUGAGCGGCCGAUGUCAGAUUAGCUAGUUGGUGAGGUAACGGCUUACCAAGGCGACGAUCUGUAGCGGGUCUGAGAGGAUGAUCCGCCACACUGGAACUGAGACACGGUCCAGACUCCUACGGGAGGCAGCAGUGGGGAAUUUUGGGACAAUGGGGGCAACCCUGAUCCAGCCAUGCCGCGUGAGUGAAGAAGGCCU
rnacentral:rRNA from 1 species